rnacentral:rRNA from 1 species
GAGUUUGAUCGUGGCUCAGGACGAACGCUGGCGGCGUGCCUAACACAUGCAAGUCGAACGAAGCUCGGACCUUGGAGAUUCGUCGAAGAGGGAAGAUGACUUAGUGGCGGACGGGUGAGUAAUACAUGAGCAACCUGCCCUGGAGUGGGGGACAACAGCUGGAAACGGCUGCUAAUACCGCAUGAAGUGUUUGGGAGACAUCUUCCGAACACCAAAGAUUUUAUCGCUCUAGGAUGGGCUCAUGUCUGAUUAGCUAGUUGGUGAGGUAACGGCUCACCAAGGCUGCGAUCAGUAGCCGGACUGAGAGGUUGAACGGCCACAUUGGGACUGAGAUACGGCCCAGACUCCUACGGGAGGCAGCAGUGGGGAAUAUUGGGCAAUGGGCGCAAGCCUGACCCAGCAACGCCGCGUGAAGGAAGAAGGCUUUCGGGUGUAAACUUCUUUAUGAGGGACGAAGGACGUGACGGUACCUCAUGAAUAAGCCACGGCUAACUACGUGACAGCCGCCGCAA